rnacentral:rRNA from 1 species
AGCAGCCGCCGCGGUAAUACGAAGGGGGCUAGCGUUGCUCGGAAUUACUGGGCGUAAAGGGAGCGUAGGCGGACAUUUAAGUCAGGGGUGAAAUCCCGGGGCUCAACCUCGGAAUUGCCUUUGAUACUGGGUGUCUUGAGUAUGAGAGAGGUAUGUGGAACUCCGAGUGUAGAGGUGAAAUUCGUAGAUAUUCGGAAGAACACCAGUGGCGAAGGCGACAUACUGGCUCAUUACUGACGCUGAGGCUCGAAAGCGUGGGGAGCAAACAGGAUUAGAUACCCGCGUAGUCCCUGUCUCUUAUAC